rnacentral:rRNA from 1 species
UACGUAGGGUGCGAGCGUUGUCCGGAAUUAUUGGGCGUAAAGAGCUUGUAGGCGGUUUGUCGCGUCUGCCGUGAAAAUCCGGGGCUCAACCCCGGACUUGCGGUGGGUACGGGGCAGACUAGAGUGUGGUAGGGGAGACUGGAAUUCCUGGUGUAGCGGUGAAAUGCGCAGAUAUCAGGAGGAACACCGAUGGCGAAGGCAGGUCUCUGGGCCACUACUGACGCUGAGAAGCGAAAGCGUGGGGAGCGAACAGG